rnacentral:rRNA from 1 species
CAAUAGCGUAUAUUAAAGUUGUUGCAGUUAAAAAGCUCGUAGUUGGACUUGUGGUGGUUCCUGUGGUCCAAUUUUGGUACUAUCGGGGACUGCCAUCUUUGGGUGGAUCCUGUGUGGCAUUAGGUUGUCGUGCAGGGGAUGCCCAUCGUUUACUGUGAAAAAAUUAGAGUGUUCAAAGCAGGCUUAUGCCGUUGAAUAUAUUAGCAUGGAAUAAUGAGAUAGGACCUUGGUACUAUUUUGUUGGUUUGCGCACCGAGGUAAUGAUUAAUAGGGACAGUUGUGGGUAUUCGUAUUCCAUUGUCAGAGGUGAAAUUCUUGGAUUUCUGGAAGACGAACUAAUGCGAAANCANNNACCAAGGAUGUUUUCAUNAA